AGCAGUCGCCACGGUAAUACGAAGGGGGCUAGCGUUGCUCGGAAUCACUGGGCGUAAAGGGUGCGUAGGCGGGUCUUUAAGUCAGGGGUGAAAUCCUGGAGCUCAACUCCAGAACUGCCUUUGAUACUGAAGAUCUUGAGUUCGGGAGAGGUGAGUGGAACUGCGAGUGUAGAGGUGAAAUUCGUAGAUAUUCGCAAGAACACCAGUGGCGAAGGCGGCUCACUGGCCCGAUACUGACGCUGAGGCACGAAAGCGUGGGGAGCAAACAGGAUUAGAUACCCCGGUAGUCCCUGUCUCUUAUAC
rnacentral:rRNA from 1 species